rnacentral:pre_miRNA from 1 species
AAUAAGAUCAUUUCUUAGUUUUUAGAUGUAAUGUUUCGAUUGUUCGUCUUAUUUGAAAUUUUUUUACGAUUAAUAUUUUUAUUGUUACUAGAUGAUAAAAUAUAAAUAGUAUUUUAUGCAUGACUAAUUCUUUUAAGUUUUUUAGAAAAUCUUCAAAUAAGACGAAUUAAUGGUCAAACGUUGGGUACAGAAAAAC